GACGAACGCUGGCGGCGUGCUUAACACAUGCAAGUCGAACGGAAAGGCCCUGCUUUUGUGGGGUGCUCGAGUGGCGAACGGGUGAGUAACACGUGAGUAACCUGCCCUUGACUUUGGGAUAACUUCAGGAAACUGGGGCUAAUACCGGAUAGGAGCUCCUGCUGCACGGUGGGGGUUGGAAAGUUUCGGCGGUUGGGGAUGGACUCGCGGCUUAUCAGCUUGUUGGUGGGGUAGUGGCUUACCAAGGGUUUGACGGGUAGCCGGCCUGGGAGGGUGACCGGCCACAUUGGGACUGAGAUACGGCCCAGACUCCUACGGGAGGCAGCAGUGGGGAAUAUUGCACAAUGGGCGGAAGCCUGAUGCAGCAACGCCGCGUGCGUGAUGACGUCCUUCGGGUUGUAAACCGCUUUCGCCUGUGACGAAGCGUGAGUGACGGUAAUGGGUAAAGAAGCACCGGCUAACUACGUG
rnacentral:rRNA from 1 species